rnacentral:rRNA from 1 species
CAACGCUGGCGGCGUGCCUCAGACAUGCAAGUCGAACGAUUAAAGCUCUCUUCGGAGAGUGUAUAGAGUGGCGCACGGGUGAGUAACACGUAAGUAAUCUACCCUCGAGUGGGGAAUAACAACCGGAAACGGUUGCUAAUACCGCAUAAUGCAGCGGCACCGCAAGGUGACAGUUGUUAAAGAUUUAUCGCUUGAGGAGGAGCUUGCGGCAGAUUAGCUAGUUGGUAGGGUAACGGCUUACCAAGGCUACGAUCUGUAACCGGUCUAAGAGGACGGUCGGUCACACUGACACUGAAUAACGGGUCAGACUCCUACGGGAGGCAGCAGUCGGGAAUUUUGGGCAAUGGGCGAAAGCCUGACGCAGCAACGCCGCGUGCGGGAAGAAGGCUCUCGGGUUGUAAACCGCUUUCAGCAGGAACGAAAAUGACGGUACUUGCAGAAGAAGGUGCGGCCAACUACGUG